UACGGAGGGUGCAAGCGUUGUCCGGAUUUAUUGGGUUUAAAGGGUGCGUAGGUGGCUUGUUAAGUCCGGGGUGAAAGCCCACAGCUCAACUGUGGAACUGCCCUGGAUACUGGCGAGCUUGAGUCCAGACGGAGGUUGGCGGAAUGGAUGCUGUAGCGGUGAAAUGCAUAGAUAGCAUCCAGAACCCCGAUUGCGUAGGCAGCUGACUAGGCUGGUACUGACACUGAGGCACGGAAAGCGUGGGGAGCGAACAGG
rnacentral:rRNA from 1 species